GCGACCCCAGGUCAGGCGGGAUCACCUGCUGAGUUUAAGCAUAUCAAUAAGCAGAGGAAAAGAAACUAACAAGGAUUCCCUUAGUAACGACGAGCGAACCGGGAAGAGCCCAGCUUGACAAUCGGACGUCUUCGGCGUUCAAAUUGUAGUCUGGAGAAGCGUCCUCAGCGACGGACCGGGCGCCAGAGAGGGUGAGAGCCCCGUCGUGCCCGGACCCUGUCUCACCACGAGGUGCUGUCUACAAGUCGGGUUGUUUGGAAAUGCAGCCCCAAUCGGGCGGUAAAUUCCGUCCAAGGCUUAAUAUGAGCGAGAGAUCGAUAGCGAACAAGUACCGCAAGGUAAAGAUGAAAAGGAAUUUGAAAAGAGAGUCAAAAAGUGCUUGAAAUUGUCGGGAGGGAAGCCGAUGGGGGCCGGUGAUUCGUCCCGAUCGGUUUCGGAACAGAGCAAUCCGGUCCACCGAUCGAUUCGGGCCGUGGACCGAUGCAGAUUAAGGUGGUGACCUAAGCCCGGGCUUUUGUUACGCCCGCGGAGACGUCACUGCCUUAAUCGUGGUUUGCAGCAUGCGCCUCACGGCGUGCCUUGACAUCUGCGUGCUCAUGGCGUCGGCCUGUGGGCUCCCCAUUCGACCUGUCUUGAAUCACGGACCAAGGAGUCUGACAUGUGUGCGAGUCAACGGGUUAGUAAACCUGUAAAGCGCAAGGAAGCUGAUUGGCUGGAUCCCUCACGGGUGCACAGCCGACCGACCUUGAUCUUCUGAGAAGGGUUCGAGUGUGAGCAUGCAUGUCGGGACCCAAAGAUGGUGAACUAUGCUUGAGCGGGGCGAAGAGCACCGUACGUUGCACGUUGUCCGGUGCAUUCCCGGCGGCCCUUGAAAAUCCGGAGGACUGAGUGCCGCUCACGCCUGGUUGUACUCAUAACCGCAUCAGGUCUCCAAGGUGAGCAGCCUCUUGUCGAUGGAACAAUGUAGGCAAGAGAAGUCGGUAAAAUGGAUCUGUAACUUCGGGAAAAGGAUUGGCUCUGAGGGCUGGGCUCGGGGGUCCCAGUUCCGAACACGUUGACUGUUGGCGGGCUGCUUGAGCUGCUAACGUGGCGAGAGCGGACCGCCUCAUGUUGGCCUAGGGAUGGACUGGGAACGGCUCUUUCAAGAUCUUUCCCCGGGCGUCGAACAGCCAACUCAGAACUGGUACGGACAAGGGUAAUCCGAUUGUUUAAUUAAAACAAAGCAUUGUGAUGGUCCCUGCGUAUGCUAACGCAAUGUGAUUUCUGCCCAGUGCUCUGAAUGUCAAAGUGAAGAAAUUCAACCAAGCGCUGGUAAACGGCGGGAGUAACUAUGAAUCCCUUAAGGUAGCCAAAUGGCUCUUUCGAGAUCUUUCCCCGGGCGUCGAACAGCCAACUCAGAACUGGUACGGACAAGGGUAAUCCGAUUGUUGAUGGUCCCUGCGUAUGCUAACGCAAUGUGAUUUCUGCCCAGUGCUCUGAAUGUCAAAGUGAAGAAAUUCAACCAAGCGCUGGUAAACGGCGGGAGUAACUAUGAAUCCCUUAAGGUAGCCAAAUGGCUCUUUCGAGAUCUUUCCCCGGGCGUCGAACAGCCAACUCAGAACUGGUACGGACAAGGGUAAUCCGAUUGUUUAAUUAAAACAAAGCAUUGUGAUGGUCCCUGCGUAUGCUAACGCAAUGUGAUUUCUGCCCAGUGCUCUGAAUGUCAAAGUGAAGAAAUUCAACCAAGCGCUGGUAAACGGUGGGAGUAACUAUGAAUCCCUUAAGGUAGCCAAAUGCCUCGUCAUCUAAUUAGUGACGCACAUGAAUAGACUAACAAGAUUCCCACUAUCCUUGUCUACUAUCCAGCAAAACCACAGCCAAGGGAACGGGCUUGGCAGAAUCAGCGGGGAAAGAAGACCCUGUUGAGCUUGACUCUAGUCCGACUUUGUGAAAUGACUUGAGAAGUGUAGAAUAAGUGGGAGCUCCGACGCAAGUGAAAUACCACUACUUUUAACGUUAUUUUACUUACUCCGUGAAUCGGAGGCGGGGUAACAACCCCUUCUUUUAGACCCAAGACUCGCUUUGGCGGGUCAAUCCGGGCGGAGGACAUUGUCAGGUGGGGAGUUUGGCUGGGGCGUCACAUCUGUUAAAAGAUAACGCAGGUGUCCUAAGAUGAGCUCAACGAGAACAGAAAUCUCGUGUGGAACAAAAGGGUAAAAGCUCGUUUGAUUCUGAUUUUCAGUACGAAUACGAACUGUGAAAGCAUGGCCUAUCAAUCCUUUAGACCUUUGGAAUUUGAAGCUAGAGGUGUCAAAAAAGUUACCACAGGGAUAACUGGCUUGUGGCAGCCAAGCGUUCAUAGCGACGUUGCUUUUUGAUCCUUCAAUAUCGGCUCUUCCUAUCAUUGUGAAGCAAAAUUCACCAAGUGUUGGAUUGUUCACCCACCAAUAGGAAACGUGAGCUGGGUUUAGACCGUCGUGAGACACGUUAGUUUCACCCUACUGAUGCCCGCGUCGCAAUAGUAAUUCAACCUAGUACAAGAGGAACCGUUGAUUCGCACAAUUGGUCAUCGCACUUGGUUGAAAAGCCAGUGGCGCGAAGCUACUGUGCGCUGGAUUAUGACUGAACGCCUCUAAGUCAGAAUCUGGGCUAGAAGCAACGCAUGCGCCCGCCGCCGGAUUGCCAACCCUCAGUAGGAACUUCGGCUCCCAAAGGCACGUGUCGUUGGCUAACUCUGUUCGGCGGAAGCGCCGUUCGGACCGCCUUGAAUUAUAAUUACCACCGAGCUGC
rnacentral:rRNA from 1 species